AACGAACGCUGGCGGUGUGCCUCAUACAUGCAAGUCGUACGCGAAUCCUGCCGCAAGGCAGGGUUUGAGUGGCAAACGGGUGCGUAACACGUAGGUAAUCUUCCUUUGAGUUGGGGAUAAGCCCUCGAAAGGGGGUCUAAUACCGAAUAACACUUCGGGCCGGCAUCGGCCUGAAAUUAAAGAUGGCCUCUGCUUGCAAGCUAUCGCUCGGAGAUGAGCCUGCGGCCGAUUAGUUAGUUGGCGGGAUAAAAGCCCACCAAGACUUCGAUCGGUAGCCGGUCUGAGAGGAUGUCCGGCCACACUGGGACUGAGAUACGGCCCAGACUCCUACGGGAGCAGCAGUAGGGAAUAUUGCGCAAUGGCCGCAAGGCUGAUCCAGCCAU
rnacentral:rRNA from 1 species